AAGGCAAAGUGCGCACGCGCAAAUUGCACUCGGGCGAUGACGCGGGACUGAGCCAGGGUGCCCGCGGCACACGUGAUCUGUUGAAGGGAGCAGAUGCAGCCUGCUCCCGACAGCAGGUCGGCGCCCGGUGCGGCGGCCGCCGGCGUUAAGCGACGCCGCCCGGCCGCGCGGCUGGCCCGCGCUACUGUCGCCGACUCGCCACCAUACGCGAGCCGCGCUCAGAACACGCGCUUAGUUUAGUUGUGUUAGUAUGAUUUUAGUUUACGCUGUCGUAGACUGCCGAUCACGCGGCCAGCCACGUUGGAAGUCAAGCCGCGGGCAGUUUACGAACAGUAUAAACUUCAUUACUAUAUUGUAGUAUUAAGAAAAAAUGGACUAUGUAUCUUAUUAAUAUUGUAGCAAGUAACAUAUUGAAGACAUAUCCGUCAGACGAGAGCCACGAACCGCGGGCUGUCACUAGGCUAUUUACUUUGUUAAACUCGUUUGCUAAUGUUUGUGAACCAGAUGGAGACGUUAACUUUACUUUUCCGUUACUAAAUUAGAAUAGUUUGUGUAAGCGUUUUAGCUAUUCUUGUGGGAGUUAAGACAUAAGUUAGCUUUGCGAUAAUAAAAUAAGAUUCUACUUUUGACAAGUUGUAUUUAUUUAAGCUAUAGUUUUUUGUUUUUGUGUAAAAUAUUUCUUACAGUCAGUUAAGUCCAGGUUAAACGAGCGAAACCGAUAGUUAAGUUAUGAUUAGUGUUUUUGUUACAAGUGCAACUUAGGUGUAAGUUAAAUUUAGUGCGUGCCUUUCGUAGAGUAGGACUUGUUUUAUUUCACAUUUGUUUUGUAAUCUUAAGCAAAUUUUUUUUAUAUACUUUAUUUUUUGGCCAACGACUUUAUUAUAUAUUUUUUUUCAUA